GCCUCGGUAGUGUAGUCCGGCCAAUCAUGAAGCCCUCUCGAGGCUUCGACCCGGGUUCGAAUCCCGGCCGAGGCA
rnacentral:tRNA from 1 species